UGUGUGUCGACCAGAGUAGGAGAAAGAGAGGGAAAAACCCUCACAACCCAAAAUUCAAUAAAUUGGAAAGGAUAAUAAGGCUAAAUCUUGUGCAUGAACCCAAAUACAUGAUCAUCUAAGCAUGCUUAACAAGUGGAAGAAGGUUCAAGCAACAAGAAGCCUCAAGGCUCGCAAGAUCGAGGUAAAUCUUUGAUUUAGUUGAGAUGCCGGCUCGGAACAAACACACUACUCGACCAUAAGCGCUUCCGGAUUAAAAUUUUCAAGGGUCAAAACUUUUGUUAUAAAUUUUAGUUAAGUAGUUCCGUCAUGUAAACAUGUUAAACUCGUUCUUCGAAACUGUAUGUAAUGUUCGACAUUUUGUGGUUGUAAAAAUAGU
rnacentral:lncRNA from 1 species